rnacentral:misc_RNA from 1 species
GUGUAUAGGUUUUGCGGCGACGCCGCGAUCACGUUCCGGGUCAUGCAUAGAGUUUGUGAAAAUUGUAGGCGAGUCCUCGGGACCCAGUGGCAAAACCGCCAGGUCCGGCUCCGGGCACGGGAGGCCCCGCCUCGAAAGGUGCACAGGUGUGUGUGGAUGAAGGUAGGAGGGUGCACAUGCCCGAUGGGCCAGCACUUCCCCCUUUGACUUCAGUAAUGAUCCUUCCGCAGGUUCACCUACGAAAA